UGGGACCCGCCGGCUAGCCAAUGGGGCUCUCGCGUAAGGUUGACGCAGGACACGUAUGGUACGUCCGGCGUCGUCCAACAGGAUUCGUCAUGGGUAGACGGUACGGCCGCCUCCACUGUUCCCACGCCGAGUGCAGUAAUGGAGUGGGAGUUUGACGGCCGACACUGUGCUGGGUGAUGGAUCAGAGCCGGGGGAGGUCAGC
rnacentral:lncRNA from 1 species